AUGCAGUGUACCCGCGGCAAGACGGAAAGACCCCGUGAACCUUUACUAUAGCUUGACACUGAACAUUGAGCCUUGAUGUGUAGGAUAGGUGGGAGGCUUUGAAGUGUGGACGCCAGUCUGCAUGGAGCCGACCUUGAAAUACCACCCUUUAAUGUUUGAUGUUCUAACGUUGACCCGUAAUCCGGGUUGCGGACAGUGUCUGGUGGGUAGUUUGACUGGGGCGGUCUCCUCCUAAAGAGUAACGGAGGAGCACGAAGGUUGGCUAAUCCUGGUCGGACAUCAGGAGGUUAGUGCAAUGGCAUAAGCCAGCUUGACUGCGAGCGUGACGGCGCGAGCAGGUGCGAAAGCAGGUCAUAGUGAUCCGGUGGUUCUGAAUGGAAGGGCCAUCGCUCAACGGAUAAAAGGUACUCCGGGGAUAACAGGCUGAUACCGCCCAAGAGUUCAUAUCGACGGCGGUGUUUGGCACCUCGAUGUCGGCUCAUCACAUCCUGGGGCUGAAGUAGGUCCCAAGGGUAUGGCUGUUCGCCAUUUAAAGUGGUACGCGAGCUGGGUUUAGAACGUCGUGAGACAGUUCGGUCCCUAUCUGCCGUGGGCGCUGGAGAACUGAGGGGGGCUGCUCCUAGUACGAGAGGACCGGAGUGGACGCAUCACUGGUGUUCGGGUUGUCAUGCCAAUGGCACUGCCCGGUAGCUAAAUGCGGAAGAGAUAAGUGCUGAAAGCAUCUAAGCACGAAACUUGCCCCGAGAUGAGUUCUCCCUGACUCCUUGAGAGUCCUGAAGGAACGUUGAAGACGACGACGUUGAUAGGCCGGGUGUGUAAGCGCAGCGAUGCGUUGAGCUAACCGGUACUAAUGAACCGUGAGG
rnacentral:rRNA from 1 species